rnacentral:rRNA from 1 species
CCUACGUGAGGCAGCAGUGAGGAAUAUUGGUCAAUGGGCGCGAGCCUGAACCAGCCAAGUAGCGUGAAGGAUGACUGCCCUACGGGUUGUAAACUUCUUUUAUAAAGGAAUAAAGUGAGGCACGUGUGCCUUUUUGUAUGUACUUUAUGAAUAAGGAUCGGCUAACUCCGUGCCAGCAGCCGCGGUAAUACGGAGGAUCCGAGCGUUAUCCGGAUUUAUUGGGUUUAAAGGGAGCGUAGAUGGGUUGUUAAGUCAGUUGUGAAAGUUUGCGGCUCAACCGUAAAAUUGCAAUUGAUACUGGCAGUCUUGAGUACAGUUGAGGUAGGCGGAAUUCGUGGUGUAGCGGUGAAAUGCUUAGAUAUCACGAUGAACUCCGAUUGCGAAGGCAGCUUACUAAACUGCCACUGACAUUGAUGCUCGAAAGUGUGGGUAUCAAACAGGAUUAGAUACCCUAGUAGUC